rnacentral:rRNA from 1 species
GAUGAACGCUAGCUACAGGCUUAACACAUGCAAGUCGAGGGGCAGCAUUAGGUAGCAAUACUGAGAUGGCGACCGGCGCACGGGUGCGUAACGCGUAUCCAACCUUCCCGUUACUCUCGGAUAGCCUUCCGAAGGGGAGAUGAAUACGAGAUGGUGCUUGAAUUCCGCAUGUUAUUCAAACUAAAGAUUCAUCGGUCACGGAUGGGGAUGCGUGACAUUAGGUAGAUGGCGGGGUAACGGCCCACCAUGCCCACGAUGUCUAGGGGUUCUGAGAGGAAGGUCCCCCACACUGGAACUGAGACACGGUCCAGACUCCUACGGGAGGCAGCAGUGAGGAAUAUUGGUCAAUGGUCGGAAGACUGAACCAGCCAAGUAGCGUGAAGGAUGAAGGUUCUAUGGAUUGUAAACUUCUUUUAUACGGGAAUAAAACCACCUACGUGUAGGUGCUUGUAUGUACCGUAUGAAUAAGCAUCGGCUAACUCCGCGCCAGCAGCCGCCGUAAAAC